GACGAACGCUGGCGGCGUGCCUAAUACAUGCAAGUAGAACGCUGAAGGAGGAGCUUGCUUCUCUGGAUGAGUUGCGAACGGGUGAGUAACGCGUAGGUAACCUGCCUGGUAGCGGGGGAUAACUAUUGGAAACGAUAGCUAAUACCGCAUAAGAGUAGAUGUCGCAUGACAUUUGCUUAAAAGGUGCAAUUGCAUCACUACCAGAUGGACCUGCGUUGUAUUAGCUAGUUGGUGAGGUAACGGCUCACCAAGGCAACGAUACAUCGCCGACCUGAGAGGGUGAUCCGCCACAAUGGGACUGAGAAACGGCUCAGGAUCCUACGGGAGGGAGCAGUAGGGGAUCUUCGGCAAUGGACGGAAGUCCUACCGAGCAAAGCCGCGUGAGUGAAGAAGGUUCUCGGAUCGUAAAGCUCUGUUGGAAGGGAAGAAAGAGUGUGAGGGUGAAAAGUUCACGCUGUGACGGUAUCUUAACAGAAAGCGACGGCUAACUACGUG
rnacentral:rRNA from 1 species